rnacentral:misc_RNA from 1 species
UUUUAAUUUUAUUUUUAAUGAAUUAGUUAGGUUGUUUGCACGCAGAAUAGGCUUUUGAAUCACCACUAGCUCAAGUCUUAAUUUUUCAGGCAUCGGGAAGCAAUAUUGCAUAUCAAGACACAGAAAUGAACUGCUAUGCCUGUACAUUAUUUAUGUAGAAAUUAACUAAAAGCUAAAUGACUUUUUUUGGAAUUGACUUGACCCACUUAUGUGGCAAGAUUCCAAAGAUCAAAUGGACACUGAGUCACGAGAUACGAAAAGUCAUUUAAAAUGCUGACCCACCAUCUCCUAUACACCAACAGUGAUCGACUCUGUCGACUCUGACUUUGAUACUCUUAACCUGUCCACUACCCCCUAAUAAAAGUUAAAAUCUGUCAGUCUAUUGUCCAAUUAUGUAAUAAGUGUCUUCAGGUACAACUUGUAACAGAAAAAUGGCCACUUAGAUGAAUGAGUAAUCAAAUAAUGCUACUUUGGCUACACAUUCGCUCAGCUCUCCACCAUCUUCGCAAGAAAAUUCAGGAUAGAUUAGGAAUUGGAAACAAGACCAUCCCAUUUAAUUAAGGACGGCGACAAUUCUUCCAAGUCAAGGAGGGGGCAAGCCACUUGCAAACAACCUCUCUUACAAGACCCAUUCAGCCAAAUGAACCCCAAAAAAGGGGUGAUGAGCCAACAAAAAGGAAUAUACAGAACAAAUAAACAAGACAUAUUUUCAUACUUGCACGUUGAAUUCUAGCCUAAAGAGAUGCUUAGUCAAAAGCUUGAUGUGCGACUCCCAUCUUCCAUGCUAGUAAUCCUCUACGGAGACACCUUGUAUGGUGCCACUUAUGGCGAGCAAGUCAUCCUCUAAAUCUAGCAAUGCAAGAUUAAGAUGGGAUUGGAUAUUAGUAGGAAAUGCUUCCCCAUCCACAGCAUCAUCUUCUUUUCAUGCACUAACUUGUUGUCUAGCCCAAUUUGUUACUUCCUGAUCACCUUGGAGAAGCUUUAAAACCUGUGGGCAACCGAGACAUCCAGAGUAAAGCAAGUCAAUCCAUAGAAAAUUGAAAUAGUAAAACGACAAUAAAGACCAAAAAUAUAAAAACUACAAUGAAAAACACAGUGAAGGUUUACUCCCAAGGCUGAUUUGUGGCCGAAAUCUAGGGGAACGACUAAUGCAGAGGGUUGCAGCUAAAACCAUUCUCUCAAUCUGAUCAUCAUCAUACUCGCUUCCUAUAACUGGAUCAAGUAACUGGGAAACUUUAGCAUCCUCUAAGAUCGGCCUUGCCUGUAUGCCAGAAUCAAUCCCAUAAUAAAUAAAUAAAUAAAUGUGUGUGUGUGUGUGUAUCUAUAUUGAGAAGCAAAUUAACAAAAAAUCAGCUAGAAUUCCUCAAACAACAACAGAAACUCUUGGUUUUUUAGGCGAAGAAGAAGAAGAAACUUCAGAAUCAAGCAUUUGGCAGUAUCACAUUCAAUCCGAAAAUGCCAUGUAACUUGGAAGAAGAUUAUAAAAGACUGAUCAUCCUGAGAUUUCCUCCCUAAACAAGUACAUACAGAACAGAUAAUCUUACCAACAUUCUCUAAUAUGAACACAAAUUAUUCUAUUCUUCUUGACACUUUGAGAAUUUUUUCAAGCUCUCUUAUCAUGGUAGAAAAACAAUAGAUAAAUAAAUAAAUCAAAAUCAUUCUCCUGACCAUCUGCUCAUCAGGCCAAAAAUUCAGAACGAAGAAAAUGAAAGAUGUAGAACACAUUACCCACAUAACAAGACUCUCCUGGCCCUUUUAAUUUUCACCACCAAUUGGCAUUCUACCAGAAAGAAGCUCAAGAAAGCACAACACCAAAAGCGAAGACAUCAACUUUGUCACUCAUUUUGCCAUGCAUGAAAUACUCAGGAGCCAAGUAACCAAAUGUUCCAGCAACAUCAGUGCAAGAUGUUGAAAACCAACUAGCUAGUCCAAAAUCUGACAGCUGUGGCUCAAAAUCAUCAGAAAGAAGUAUGUUUGAAGAUUUCACGUCCCUGUGGAUCACAGGCUGAUCAUAGAGAUUGUGUAGGUAGUCAAGAGCCUCAGCUACACCCAAAGCCACCUUAUAUCGCUCUUGCCAACCAAAUGCAUUCCCGUCCUUCUUAUUACCAUGAAGGUUCUCUUCUAGGCUUCCUCUUGACAAAAAAUCAUAAACCAAGAGUAAAUUGUUGUGCUCAAAACAGAAACCAAAUAAAGAGAUUAUGUUCUUGUGAUGCAAUUGUGUAAUGAUCUCAAUUUCUGCGACAAACUCUUUUAACACAUCGUCAGAUGGCUUUAAGAUUUUCACUGCCAAUUCCUUGCCAUCAGGAAGACAACCUUUGUAAACAUGACUACUACCACCUUUGCCUACCAUAUUUUCAGGCAUGAAAUUAGAAGUGGCCAAACAAAGUUCCUCAUAGCUGAAUAGUCUACAUGAUGAUGAAUAUUUCUCAUGUAGACCUUUCAACUCUUCCGGAAGGCCAUUUGAACCAUGGUAUGGUGAGAUGGGGGACCAUGCAACUUCAGGGCCCACCGUUGGCACAAUUGCACCAUUCUCUCCUUCCAAAUCAGAACAGUAGUCUUCUGUAACUCUCAAAAGAGUCUGUUUUUGAUCAGGAUACACUACUGAUGAAGAAUUCCAGCUUGGCAGUUUCAAUACCCAUUUAACCAUGGAAUUCUUUUUUACAUGAGAUUUCUCUAUGGGUCGACGCUUGGGUAGAAAUACCCGGCGAAGAAUUGACCAACCCUGUUUACUCUCUGGUAAUCUUUCAACCACAUUAGCACUAAAAUUUGACACACCCUCACUUGAUUGAACCGGUACCAAAGCCAAUGAAUUAUCAACAUCAACAUCACCAUCAUUAUGUGCCUCCUCAAGUAAAUCAUUUCCAGCAUUAUCAGGCAACACUAAGUGUGAAGGACUAUCUGUAGAAUUCUUGUUCAUGGAUUUUUGCGAAUAAAUUUGACAUUCUCGCUUGAAUUUAUCUUGGGUUGCUUCUCUUUGGAAUACGAUUUUGCCAUUACUAACGGCAUAGACUGAGAAACUCUUUGACAAAUUUCUGGCACAAUACUUGGCUAUCGAGGUUGAGGAACGGAUUUUGUGACGGGUCUUAGAAGUUCCCACGAUAACCUUACCUGCACCACUUGAUUUUGCUUCUCUUACCAAAAUUUUCCUCGCCGAUGAACCUCUACACACUUUUAGCUUCAAAUCUACCUGCUUCAAGUUGCAGAAACCUUCAUAGACUGCCAACAAAGAAUCAAAUGUCUUUACUAGAGACAGAAGCGAUGCUGUGCCUCCUACAAAAUCAGUAACAGAUUCGAGAACGUGAAGAGCAAUGACACGGUCACCAGGCUUUGCCACUUUCAUCAGCGACCACGUAAGCAAUUCUCUGCUCUCCGCAUCGAACUUGACCCCUACAACCACCACUUCACCUCCUUCCCAGCCGUCGCCUCCCACAACCGCAGCCCCACCCACCGUCCGUUCUCUGAUAAGCUUCAUCUCUCUCUAUC